rnacentral:rRNA from 1 species
AGUGAAUAGAUACCCAGGUAGUCCUAGCCGUAAACGAUGUAGACUUGGCGUUGGCGGGUUUAAAUCCGUCGGUGCCGAAAGCAAAAACGCGAUAAGUCUACCGCCUGGGGAGUACGGCCGCAAGGUUAAACUCAAAGGAAUUGACGGGGCCCGCACAAGCAGCGGAGCGUGUGGUUUAAUUCGAUGCUACACGAAGAACCUUACCAGGGUUUGACAUGUAGGUGGUAGUGAAACGAAAGUAGAACGACCCUUCGGGGAGCCUGCACAGGUGCUGCAUGGCUGUCGUCAGCUCGUGUCGUGAGAUGUUCGGUUAAGUCCGCUAACGAGCGCAACCCUCGCUGUGUGUUAUAUGUGUCACACGGGACUGCCGGUCUUAAGCCGGAGGAAGGUGGGGAUGACGUCAAGUCAGCAUGGCCUUUAUAUCCUGGGCUACACACACGCUACAAUGGUCGGCACAAUAGGUAGCGAAACCGCGAGGUGGAGCCAAUCCUCAAAGUCGGCCUCAGUUCAGAUCGUAGGCUGCAACUCGCCUGCGUGAA